GUCGUCUUAGCUCACUUGGGAGAGCGCCAGACUGAAGCAAUCAGCCUUCAAGCUGCAAACUUCGGUUCACAACGAAUAUCUGGAGGUACUGUGUUCGAUCCACAGAGACGACA